GACGGGGGGUCCUAGCGUUGUUCGGAUUCAUUGGGCGUAAAGGGUGUGUAGGUGGCGCGCUAAGUCGGGUGUGAAAUUUCGGAGCUUAACUCCGAAACUGCAUUCGAUACUGGCGUGCUUGAGGACUGGAGAGGAGACUGGAAUUCAUGGUGUAGCAGUGAAAUGCGUAGAGAUCAUGAGGAAGACCAGUGGCGAAGGCGGGUCUCUGGACAGUUCCUGACACUGAGACACGAAGGCCAGGGGAGCAAACGGG
rnacentral:rRNA from 1 species